rnacentral:rRNA from 1 species
GUCCACGCCGUAAACGAUGCUAACUCGUUUUGGAUUUUCGGAUUCAGAGACCAAGCGAAAGUGAUAAGUUAGCCACCUGGGGAGUACGUCCGCAAGGAUGAAACUCAAAGGAAUUGACGGGGCCCGCACAAGCGGUGGAUUAUGUGGUUUAAUUCGAUGAUACGCGAGGAACCUUACCAAGACUUAAAUGGGAAUUGACAGGUUUAGAAAUAAACCCUCUUCGGGCAAUUUCCAAGGUGCUGCAUGGUUGUCGU